AGGCUUCUCUGAGCCACAAGGAGUCUUCAUAGAGACGAGGAUCACCCAGAUACUCAGAGGUUCUCUUGUACAGGUAGUAGUACAACACAGAGGCUACAAAAAGGAACAAACACAAAAAAAUUAGACAAAAUAAUCAACUUUACAUCCUCUUUCUUCAAUUUUCAAUCAAUUUUGACUAUUAAAUUAGUAGACUGAAUAUAAUAACAACCAAAAAGAAAAAAAAAUGAAUUGCCUUUAAAGUCUUUUACUUGUCAAAGUUGACAAUUUCACAAAUUACCACUGCAAUCUACAGUGAGAUCAAAUCAUUGCUGAUCUAAAUCCAGUCAGAUGGGUUAAAAAUUUGGGUAAUUAACAUUAAUUAACUUCUUCAGCCAUUAAAAACCAAGUUAAAUCAUACAAAUGUCUUUGUGCUGUCAGAGUUUAGUCUUAUGAUAAUUUACUGCAAACAAUGAAUCACAGGAUUCCGUCUGCACAAUUUUGGUACAGACAAAAUAAUUGGGCAGGUCAGAGGAGGCUAAAGUAGUAUCCCAGACAAGCAUCUUCUGCAGACAACACCAUACAAUAAAUCCUUUCAUCCACUAAUAGGCUUAUAGUAUGUAAACACACACAUGAACGUGUUGUCAUUACAUCGUGGAGAGAAAAACUUUAUUAUUCUAUCAAAAAAAGUUUAUUUUUCAGUUAAAAAAAUAAAAUGAUCUAAAAACAAAAUUGGCAAAAUGUUUUCCUCAUAUCAUAAAUGAUAACCAAUGAUUAAAACUCAUUCUAAUACAGUUAUCAAUCCUUCAAUCUACUUAAAAAUUAAGUAAAUAUUUGUUGUGUUCUUAUACAAAUGGGUCAAUGCUGUAACUAAAACAUUUCAUGAACGUUGCUCUAAGUUCAGAAUAACCCUUCAAAGGGAUUGCAGAUACAUUUGAAAAGGAUCAAAUGAAAACGCCGUCUUACCAGAUCUUUGCAGCACAAACAGAACCUGAAGACCGUCCGUCCAUAUAAAUAGGUUUGUGUUGAGCCAUCGCAGAUUCUGCAAGAAACAAAAAAGCAAAAGGCAUUCAGUUUUUUAUUAAAGCAUAUUUUACUUAUUGUUAGUCCAGCAACCUGAGGCUCUGAAGCCACAUGUUGCUCUUUUAUCCCUCCAUUGUGUCUCUUUGGCUUUCAAUUUACAUAUAUAUAUACAGUAUUAUGGGUGCGUACAGUGGUUUUUGGUUAUUUUGUUCUUGUUGUCAUUCAUGUUUAGACUUUUAAGAAUACUGAGUAAAAAUGAUGGUAAAAGAUUUAAUCUACAA